ensembl:rRNA 5S_rRNA 5S ribosomal RNA
GCCAGUAGCCAUAUCACCCUGCAACUCACAACUGGCAACCCACUGGAGCUCAGCAGGUGUGAGCCUGGUCAGUACCUGGAUGGGAGACUUCCUGGGAAACACUAAGGUUGCUGCUGGAA